rnacentral:tRNA from 1 species
GGCUAGGUAGCUCAGUUGGUAGAGCAACGGACUGAAAAUCCGUGUGUCGCCGGUUCGAUCCCGGCCCUGGCCACCA